ensembl:lncRNA
GUUUCCACAAAAAUGUUAAGCAUCAACUGUUAUCAACACUGAUAAUAAUAAUAAAUGUUUCUUGAGCACCGAAUCAGAAUGUUAGAAUGAUUUAAUUCUGAAAUUCAGCUGUGCCAUCACAGGAAUACAUUAAUUAUUUUAAUCAAAUAAAUUCAGCUUUUGGUGAACAUAAGAGACUUAUCUCUAAAAAAAAAAAUCUUACCAACCCCAAACUUUUGAACUGUAGUGUACAUAAAAAAAAAUCAAUAUGUGCAUCCAAUUGACAUUCCAAGCAUGUGAAUAAAAAAAGUCAUUUAUAAAUGUAUACUAUAUAAUUUCGCUCAAUUAUCAUACUGUAAUUGUAAUGGCAUGAAUCUAUUUCCAACUCAAAUAUGGAGUGAGGGCUACAAACAGUCAUAACAUGGUGAGGGUUUCCACAGAGGAUCCACCAAGCUAUACAGCCAGAUCACUCCUUUCCUUUCUUUUCUAAUGUUUACUUUAAUAUUUACAAGUAAAAUGGUAAGUGAUCUAAAACUGCCCAAAACCUGAAAAAAAAGAAAGAAAGAAAAAAAAACAUGCACACACAAACAUACCUUGAGUGUAGGUUUGAUUCUGCCCUGUCUCAGGUCUGUCUAUGAAUUCAUUUUUUGCAUCUCAGGUAGAAUGCAAAAGUGAUGCCCCAUAUCUGAAAGAAAAGACUUUAAGUUAUUAUCAAAAAAUCCUGCAGAAUAGAGCAUGUUCGACAUGUUUUAUCUGUACUUCAGAUGCUGUGCACUGUGUAAAUGUUCAUAUUACUUUGUAUAGAUAGGUCACAGCAGAUGAUAGGUUUAUUUAAAGAAAAUAAAUCUAAGACGUGAAUCUUAGUGCGUACAUUUACAAUGCAUUUUCCAUUUUUAGACAACCUGUACCACCAGAGCCAUUCUUCAUUGUUUCCAUAGGUUUUAUGUCAGAUAUUUUGUCUCAUCUCUGUAGUUUGUAUUCCUGUGUAAUUAAAGUUAUUUACAUGUUCCCGAUUACACUUUGUAUUUGACCAUGAAAAUACAUUUUUACAGAAAUGGAGCAGUACUGUCUUAAUAAAAAGAGGUAUUAAUGUUCAAAAAGC